AAUGGGUGAGGAAAUUAGCAACAUGCAAGUGAUACUCAGCAACUAUGUCAAAACAUCUGUGAAAGAAUCCGAUAUGUCGCUGAGAACUUCCAAAAUUCAGCUCAAAAUUCCCAGCGGUUGCGACGGCGCCGUUUUGGUGAAGAAUCUCUACUUAUCCAUCGAUCCUUUUAUUCUUGCCCUCAUGAAGAAUCAAGAGCUCGAUUUACCUUCUUUCAUGCUGGAUUCUCCUAUUUAUGGAUUUGGAGUGUCGAAAGUACUGGAUUCGUCUCAUCCAAAUUUCAAGACGGGCGAGCUAGUUUGGGGGUUUACUGGCUGGGAGGAGUAUAGCUUUAUUAAAGAUCCAGACUAAUUGUUUAAGGUUCAAGAUAAAGAUUUGCCCCUCUCUUAUUAUACAGGGAUUCUUGGUGAGUUUCUCGAGCCCCUUGUGAUUAUCGACUUCAAAUUUUACGCUUGAUUCCUGCUUCCUAGUGCUAUUUGUCUGAUCUAGAACUAGUUGUUUGUGAUUCUGCAGAAGUUAUGUAUGCAGUUAAACUGUUAACGAAAACGAGUUGUUGAUGAACUAUAUAUGCUUGAAUUAAUAGAUUGGGAAAUGUUGGAUUUGUAGCGUUUAUCUUGAUAGUUUCUGAAAAACAACAGUAGGAGAUGUACUAACUUGAGACUUAAAAUCAAUGUGUUUCGCGUUAUCAUUUUAGGCAUGCCUUUAUGUUGGUUUUUUCAAGUUUUGCUCUCCCAAAAAGGAGGAAACUGUGUAUGUCUCUGCUGCAUCCGGAGCUGUUGGUCAGCUCGUUGGUCAGUUUGCAAAGAUCGCAGGGUGUUACGUUGUUGGGAGUGCGGGGAGCAAAGAAAAGGUCGAUCUCUUGAAGAACAAAUUCGGGUUUGACGAAGCAUUCAACUACAAAGAAGAGCAAGACUAUAAUGCAGCGUUGAAGAGGUUCUAUCAUUGCUAUAAAAAUGUGUAUACUUAUUUAACAUUGAAGAAUAGUUAGUAAUUUAACACACAAUA